UACGUAGGGGGCAAGCGUUAUCCGGAAUCACUGGGCGUAAAGGGUGCGUAGGCGGCUUUCUAAGUCAGGGGUGAAAAGCUACGGCUUAACCGUAGUAAGCCCUUGAAACUGGAGAGCUUGAGUGCAGGAGAGGAGAGUGGAAUUCCUAGUGUAGCGGUGAAAUGCGUAGAUAUUAGGAGGAACACCAGUGGCGAAGGCGACUCUCUGGACUGUAACUGACGCUGAGGCACGAAAGCGUGGGGAGCAAACAGG
rnacentral:rRNA from 1 species